AAGUAUCUGAAACUGAGAAAAACAUGAAGUAUUUCUUAAUGAUAUGAAAAAUCUAGCGGACAGAAUUUUACCAAAUUUUAUAUUAUGUAAGCUAGAACUAAGACAAAAAAAACUAAACCAAAAAACAAUAUCAACUUAUGCUUGUUUUCAAGAAAAAUUAAAAAAUAUUCACUCCACCCACAAAAGUAUUUUUUCAUUACCCCACCCACCUAAAAUUAUGAACAUUUUUUCUUCUUACAAAACAAAUUGCACAAUGUUAUUAUCAGUUUCUUAACCAGUUUUCUUACUCACAUGCGGAAUAAUGCUCCUUUAAGGUUGCAUGCCUCUAGGUCAAAUACUUUUUGAGAUACGUGCUACACAAGCUUUCACAUGCCAUUUACGUAUAUAUUUGACCACGUCAAGGGUCAUAAAUCUGUUUUUACUGAGUGAAACCUCAAAUAAAAGCACUGGUGCACAACUUCGCAUGCUGAAUUUAAUUCUUGUUUGGUUUCAUGACUCUUGGCGCAUAUACUUUUGAGGUACAUGCGACACAAAUGUUUAGACCCUUUAUGUACAAUUUGACUGUCAAGGGCCAUAACUCUGGUCUCACUACGUGAAAUGCAGGAUGGGGCACAAAAAGUAUAACAACAUUUUUAGGAAGUCACAUCUGAACUUGAAGGAGAUAGAUCUACGUUAAGAUUUUCUGGAAUUUAUUUGACUUGGAGUCGGCUGCAUUAUUACUGGACGAAAUAGUUUACUUUCAAAUUGGCUGUCCACAAUGUAUUCGAUUCGAGCACUUCCUACGACUACUCCUGCAAUAAAACACCAUCACUUUUAACAGUAAAAUAUGGAUGCACGACCUAUAUUGUCAGUACAUACGAUACUUUUUGCGCGAGUGCACUGCAUAUCAGACAAUUAUACACUUUCGGCGGCGAAUCCUGAACUUUACAGUGGUUAUCGCUUGCUGCGCGAUUGAGCUGCGCACAAAAUAUUGUGAUGAACUCCUUUAAAUAGAAGACAAUACCAUUGAUAUUAUAUACCAUUGUCAAGAACAACAAAGAUGGUGAUAGGAUUUUUUUUAAUUUUCAAAAUAUCUUUAUACUGUUUUUAGCACCAUCUCCUGCUCGAGUGGAUGUCAAACCAGUCAACUUGAAUUCUGCAGAAAUAUUUGACUUAUAGUAGAACCACCACCAGAAGUACAGAAUGGUGACUUGUAUGGAUACAGGGGACUAGUGUAGAACAUAUCAAGAGAACACAGCAAAGUACAUUACAGCCAAGUAGGUUACUAAGUAUGAACAGUCCAUGAGCCUUGUAGGUCUUGUUAUGUACAGAGUAUGCCAUCAGUUAACAGGCUAUAGACUUGGCUGGAGAGCGACUAGAGUGAAGACUAUUACAACAAAACUUUCGAAAGAUAUAAACUACAGUUAAAGAUUGGCAGCAGCUGUCAGUGGCCAAGGAAAACCAAUCCAUUGUAGACAAGGGAUCAACAGGAGCAGACAUUAGUUGUCAAGGUUACGGAUUCAUCAGAUGUAUGAAGAAAUUUACCAAAGAUUCAAGUCUGGAGAUAACAGUGGCAGAUCUUAGACUUUUUUUCUAGAUUUAAGUUUAAAAUGAUUGUGUCUUAAGACUGCAUGAAUAGUCUGGAAAAUAAUAGUAUAGAAGACAAGGUUUUAUUAUAAACAAAGAAACAUUAGGUUUUAUUGUUGACAGGUUUUUGGAAUUUACUGCGGAAAUGACUGUUUCAUGUCUUUUGAUUGUAUUUUUUUGUCUCAUGACCUUCUUUUGCAUAAGAAGAUGGAACCAUUUUCUACAUAAUUGAUGCAUUUUAAGGUACUGUAUUCAGAGCAGAUAAUUAGAUUUUUUUUCAAGGAAAAGAUUAUGUUCAAACACUUACUUGUGUUCACUAAACAUGAUCCUUAGAUUUAGAAUUUCACCAGAGUUUUUUUUAGCUCACCUGAGCACCAAGUGCUCAAGGUGAGCUUUUGUGGUUGCCCUGUGUCCGUUGUUAGUCGUCUGUCGUCAACAAUUUGACUGUUAACACUCUAGAGGUCACAAUUUUGGCCUAAUCUUAAUGAAACUUGGUCAGAAUGUUACCCUUAUAAAAAUCUUGGAUAAGUUUGAUAUUUGGUCAUCUGGGAUCAAGAACUAGGUCACCAGGUCAAAUCAAAGGAAAAACUUGUUAACACUCUAGAGGUCACAAUUUUGGCCCAAUCUUGAUGAAACUUGGUCAGAAUGUUAUCCUUAAUAAAAUCUUGGAUGAAUUUGAUAUUGGGUCAUCUGGGAUCAAGAACUAGGUCACCAGGUCAAACCAAAGGAAAAAGCUUGUUAACACUCUAGAGGUCACAUUUAUGAACAUAUCUUAAUGAAACUUGGUCAGAAUGUUAACCUUAAUGAUCUAUAGAUUGUAUUUAAAUCUGGGUCAGAUGGGGUCAAAAACUAGGUCACUGGGUCAAAUCAAAGGAAAAGCUUGUUAACACUUUAGAGGCCACAUUUAUGACUGUAUCUUCAUGAAACUUAGUCAUAAUGUUAAUCUUGAUGAUCUUUAGGUCAAGUUCGAAUCUGGGUCAUGUGGGUCAAAAACUAGGUCACUUGGUCAAAUCAAAGGAAAAUCUAGUUAACACUCUAGAGGCCUCAAUUAUGACUGUAUCUUCAUGAAACUUAGUCAGAAUGUUAAUCUUGAUGAUCUUUAGGUCAAGUUUGAAUCUGAGUCAUAUGGGGUCAAAAACUAGGUCACUGGUCAAAUCAAAGGAAAAGCUAGUUAACACUUUAGAGGCCACAUUUAUGACCAUAUCUUAAUGAAACUAUCUUGAUGAUCUUUAGGUCAUUAGGUCAGGUGAGUGAUACAGGGCCUUCAUGGCCAUCUUGUUUUAAUUUGAUUUUCUAAUCUUGGUUUCCUAACCAUGAUAGAGUUAUUUUACCAUAAAUAAUACAACAAAUAAUAAAAAUAAGAGGAAGAUAUAAAUAUAAGACCUUAUAAAAGAUUUGCAUAAAGAGUUAUAUACAUCGAUGGAAUUCAUUAGAAAUGUAUGUUAAAAAUUUAUUGCCCUCCUUUGCAUAACCAAGAUAUAUUUGAAUUAAUGAAUUUGGAAGUUAUGCACAGUUUUGGUUCAGAUUGUUAAAAAACCCAGAGAUCUAUAAAAUGCAAAUGUAAAACUAGAAAUUACUCGGAAAUAAAAAGAAAUACUGAAUCUUUUAAAUACUUUCAUAUUAAAGAAGGGUAAAUAAAAACUUUCAAACAUUCAGUUAAAAGUAAAUUUCUAGUAUGGAUCUAACUCUGUGCAAUGGGUUAUCUUGUACCUUAAAUAAAUCUCUUUAUUACAUGUUUUUCAGUGAGUUAGGGAAAUAUUAGAGUAUAUUGUAUCAGGUAUUUUCACAGUGAUUGAUAUUUUCCACUGGUAAGAAACUAUAAAAUGGGUAAAUUGAGUCAAAACAUGAAAUAAAAAGAAAAUUUGUUUGUUUUACAUGUAACAUCAAAAUAUCUUUCUCUCGUGAACACCAUAUCUUGCAUUUUCAAUUGUGGCUAUGCCACCUGAAAACUUUGCAUUCUGGUGUUCACACAUGAAAAAUAUUUCAAUCUUACACUGAAACAAACAAAUAUGUUCUUUAAAGUAAAUAUACAAAAAAGUGAAAAAUAUCAUCAAAUGUUGCCUAAAUGUGAUUAAUAUGCAGAAUAUUUAAAUAUGUUCAGUCUAAAAGCAUUGUAGAUUCCUUAUUCCAUUUUAAUACAUAUACAUGUAUGUGUGUUACAGGGAUGAUUUGCAAAAAAUGCCUUUGUGAAACAUGUUUAAAUCAAAGCUUUUAAAGUGUAGGAGUCGCUGGUCAAAUUGACUUGUUUCUAAUAGUUAAAGAAAGUAGAAUAUAGAUGUUUUGGCAGAAAAAGCUAACAUGUGAUAAAAAGAAUAUUACAUUUGUGACUUUCCACAUUGAAUUUAUUAAACUCGUUGAAUUAUUCAAGUCAUUUAAUAAAUUCAGUAUGAAAAGACACUCGUGUAAUAUCAUCUAUAUAUCAAUUUUACUGAUCUUUUUACAGAUUUUAUUGUUUGUACUAUUAUUAUAUUUACUUUAUAGAAACAUGUUAAAAGUAUACUAAAUCUGUUUGUUUUCAAUAAAAUGAGGUUGACUAAAAAUCUGUAUAAUGUUCUGUGCAGUAUGAGAAUAUUAACCAUACUACAAUUGUCCUUCGGAUUUUGACAAUUCCUGUAAUAGGAAUUCUCAAAUGUACAUGUCAGUUUUAGAAAACUUUACGUGCAUUUUAAGAAUUUGGACAAAGUGAAUUUUGCAUCUGAAUGAUUUCCGCAAAGCUGCCACACAUAACUAGACCAUUUCAGAGUACAAAUUCUUACCAGAUUUUAAAGAAUUAUUCUUAGUCUUAUCUGCAUGAAAAAAAAGUUUUAGCUUGAUUAAAUUAGUUUUCAAGGUUUUAUGGCAUUUUCAGUAUUUCCUCUAGAGUACCUGCAGUGAAAAUCAGAGUUUUUGAGUUUUUUUAUCAGUUUUUACAUCACAAAAAUGCCCUUGUAUAUAUCCAUAUCUGGACAAUUUUUUUUUUGCCCAUGUUUUCUUAUAGAAUGGUCCCUUUUCUCACACUGCACAAAACAUAAUUAUGCAUUGAAGUUUUUUCUCAAGUGAUAUAUCAGGUGCAUCUGUGGAAAUUUGUGCUAAAGUUUGAAAUAAAAAAGUAUGUCUUUA